rnacentral:rRNA from 1 species
AGAUAAUAGAUACCCGGGUAGUCCACGCCCUAAACGAUGUCGACUGGUUGUUGGGGGUUUGACACUCUCAGUAAACGAAAGCUAAACGCGUGAAGUCGACCGCCUGGGGAGUACGGCCGCAAGGUUAAAACUCAAAGGAAUUGACGGGGACCCGCACAAGCGGUGGAUUAUGUGGAUUAAUUCGAUGCAACGCGAAAAAACCUUACCUACCCUUGACAUGUCCGAGAGCCCGCUGAGAGGCGGGUGUGCCCGAAAGGGAAUCGGAACACAGGUGCUGCAUGGCUGUCGUCAGCUCGUGUCGUGAGAUGUUGGGUUAAGUCCCGCAACGAGCGCAACCCUUGCCAUUAGUUGCCACCCGUAAGGGGGCACUCUAAUGGGACUGCCGGUGACAAACCGGAGGAAGGUGGGGAUGACGUCAAGUCCUCAUGGCCCUUAUGGGUAGGGCUUUACACGUAAUACAAUGGCGCGUACAGAGGGUUGCCAAGGAGCGAUCUGGAGCCAAUCCCGUAAAGCGCGUCGUAGUCCGGAUUGCAGUCUGCAACUCGACUGCAUGAA